AUUGAACGCUGGCGGCAUGCUUUACACAUGCAAGUCGAACGGUAACAGGCCGCGAGGUGCUGACGAGUGGCGAACGGGUGAGUAAUGCAUCGGAACGUGCCCAGUCGUGGGGGAUAACUACUCGAAAGAGUAGCUAAUACCGCAUACGAUCUAUGGAUGAAAGCGGGGGACCGUAAGGCCUCGCGCGAUUGGAGCGGCCGAUGUCAGAUUAGGUAGUUGGUGGGGUAAAGGCUCACCAAGCCAACGAUCUGUAGCUGGUCUGAGAGGACAACCAGCCACACUGGGACUGAGACACGGCCCAGACUCCUACGGGAGGCAGCAGUGGGGAAUUUUGGACAAUGGGCGCAAGCCUGAUCCAGCAAUGCCGCGUGCAGGAAGAAGGCCUUCGGGUUGUAAACUGCUUUUGUACGGAACGAAACGGCUCUGGUUAAUACCCGGGGCUAAUGACGGUACCGUAAGAAUAAGCACCGGCUAACUACGUG
rnacentral:rRNA from 1 species